rnacentral:lncRNA from 1 species
CGAUUUUCCAGGUGUGUCCGUCACCCCUUUCUUUGACUGGGAAAGGGAACUCCCUGACCCCUUGCGCUUCCCAGGUGAGGCAAUGCCUCGCCCUGCUUUGGCUCGCGCACAGUGCGCGCACCCACUGGCCUGCGCCCACUGUCUGGCACUCCCUAGUGAGAUGAUCCCGGUACCUCAGAUGGAAAUGCAGAAAUCACCCGUCUUCUGCGUCGCUCACGCUGGGAGCUGUAGACCGGAGCUGUUCCUAUUCGGCCAUCUUGGCUCCUCCCGAUUUUUUAAGCAGAAUUUUUCUUUUCUUAUUGUUGAGUUUUAAGUAUUCUUUGUAUAUUUUGGAGAACAGUCUUUUAACAGAUUUCUUUGUAGUCAAUUAGGACUGCCCAUUAAAGUGGCAGAAUAAGCACAGUGCCUGCUGCUAUGAUGUGAUGGGCCGUGGGAAACACUUUUCGCCUAAAAUCACCUCCUGCAAUGGCCUACUUAAGGCAUUUGAUUCACCUAUGUUAACAAGGGGCUUGUACGUCUCUAUCUUUUGCCAUGGGACAAAGUGCCUUCCUGGAGAAGUUGUUUUUCUCCUAUUGACACCAGGAUUGGCCUAAGGACUUGUGUUGGUCAAGGAAAUAGAUGGAGUUUCACCAUGUAGCCCAGGCUGGUCUUGAACUCCUGGGCUCAAACAAACCACCUGCCUCAGCCUACCAAUGUGCUGGGAUUAUAGGAGUGAGCCACCACACCUGGCGUUAUCUGAGCUUCUUAGUAUGUGCUCCAUCCAUGUAUCAUUCAGAGCUGCAGCUACACUCAUCUACCUGCCACUUCUUGAAACCGGAACCCAGGAGAUCAGAACGUAACUGGAAAGCGUGAAGUGGGACAAUCUGAAAGCAUCCAGAUUCAAUUGUGCGUGAAGGCAAAGAAAAUAACAGCAUGCCCUUUUAAAAUAUUGGUUUGAAGUGAUAUGGAGACACUACUUUGGAGCAUUUUCCUCUUUGCAUUUCCACUCUUGGCACAGUGCUUGGCCCAUGGAGCAGUUUGCUCUCUCCCAUCGAGACCACUUCCUGCAAAAAGCUGGGACCAAGAGGCUGCAGGAGGGCCAGCAGCUCUUAACAGGUUGAGUGAGGGGCUGCCAGGUGAUGAAUGGAUGCAUGUGGAGCAAGGCAGGACUGAUGGAAACUACAGCAUUCUACUUUUCUAUUGGAUUCUGCAUGGACACCAGGAUGAAAAAUGAACAAAUAUUCUCUGCCAUUAUUUCUUGGUUUAGUGUUCACUCUGUGGGGAAACAAACGUGUAUCAGUCACCAUGUCUACCUCCAAGUUAUUUGUAAUAUAAUAAUAGGGGAUUUAUUUUAUAGUGACUCCAAAAUUAUUUAUUGAGCAUCUACUAUGAUCGAGGCAUUUUGCUUGGAAUAAAAUGGUGAACGGCAU